GAAAAAUCCUCGGCCACCCCUCGCGCCGCCGUCCCCGCCUCCGCCUCACACCGCGGCCCCUCGCCACCGUCCCUGCGUCGCGCUCCCACCUCCGUCUCCGCCCCUCGCCGCCGCCCAGCCUCUUCCUCGCGCCGCCACCGCCGCCGCCUCCGCCUCGCACAGCCGCCAUCCCCGCCUCCGCCUCCUGCCGCCGGCGUAAGAAUCCAGCCUUGAUGUGGUCGGGGGACAGGGAUCUGACUUCCCCCGUGCACCGGGCGGUGCCGCAGCCUCCGUCCCCCGACCACAUGGAAGGGGCGGCCUCGGGUGGAGCUGGUGUCGUUGCCGCGACCUCAUUGGCUAAAGGCCGGCUGUCCGUCGAUCUGGAGGAGUGAGAGGUGACAGCAGCAGUAAAGAGUGGGAAGGGGCUGUCGACGGCAGUAUGGGGGAGAAGCGUCGGAGCCCGCUUCCCCUCCUCUCACAGGGGCCGCCGCUGUCGAACCUGUGUUACCUGGGGGCGGAGUUCAGGUUCCAGCGGGCGGAGCUCGGGGCGGAGAUGAUGACCGACGGUGGGGCAGUUCGAUGAGCGCCAUAUCUGCUCUUCUACAAGGGCCCCAAGGUCUGUUCGUCCCAGGUCGAUGCUAAGGAAUCUGACCACCUAUGUUGCUUUCUUGCCGCUGCCAUCAAGACACCAAGUCGAGCUUCAAGAAGGGCACGUACUGGAUGGAUGCAGAUGUGGUAACAGCCUUCGAGCUAAGCCGGGCCAUCGACGAUGGAGUGCUGCAGCCUUUGCCCUUUGGUUCGCUGACAUGCUGUUCCUUCUAUGUGAGGUUGCCAGUACCACGGACUCGCCGUCAGCACUGUGCAACGUCAUCCUUCUGCGCUAGACUGACUCCACCCUCUGCUGAGUGAGAUCGCGUGCUUUUUCCACCGCUACAAGUCCGAGCAGCCAAGCACUUAUCGCAAGAAUGGAAAACCAGCUGCCAUUCAAUAUGGCACUGGUUCAGUUGAUGGGUUUUUCAACGAGGAUAGUGUUACAGUAGGUGAUCUGGUUGUGAAAGAUCAGGUGAAUAUUUGGCUUUGAUUGGUGAAAAAUUAAUGGAGCGGAUAUAAUCGAACUUGGACUUGCUACGCGUUGUCCCAUCAGUGGUGCUUUGGUUCGCAUAAUAAACUGAGAAAAUAUUAUGGGAGUCUUCUCUUCAUUGCUGCCCCAGGCAACAAGGAUCAGAGUGAAGAUCUCUUGAUGGUCCAUUUGUGUUGGUUUGGAUCAACAACAUGCCAUGUGCUGCUGAUAGUAUCAUGGCGGUUCUUGGGGCCAAGGGAAUGCAAAUUAGAAAUGACAUGCUUCUUUGUUACCUUCUCCUAUGAUCAUGUUCAGCUGAUUUGCUGCCCUCCUCCCUUUUCCCCUUCUGCUUCGAAGAAGUAAAACUCAUGCUCUCUUUGACUAAUAAUGAAGACAGAUAAUUGGCCUAUGCUUAAGGACAAGAGACAUUGAAGUCACCCCAACAGAGCAAUGCCACCUUCCUUUUUACCGUUAGAUCAAUGACUUCAUUACCCCCACAGUGAAGAUGGUCAUGCUUUUCUCAGCUAUGUCUUAUGAAUGGCAUACAUAUAGCCAUACAGGGCUAAAAUUGUCAUCUGGCAUGGUCUCUAAUUCCUGUUUACCAAGAUUUUGGGGAAUUUGGAUAUAGUUUACCGCUUUCAUAUAGUAAUUAGUCUCUCUGGAGACUGACAUCAAGAGGUAGAGUCACAUGUUUCAAUAAUUAGUGAGUAGUCAAAUGCACAUUUUUCUCACCAGUUAUAAUCAUCAAAGUUAUCUGAGGACCCAUCAAUGUUCUUUUUCUGCCUUAUAUUGGUUGUAUAGAUGCACUUCUGCUACAUCUGAUUUUACUUCUUGGUUCCCUUUCUUCGUAUAGACGAUAGGAAUGGAUUUAUUUUGUUUAGUUUCCUUGCGAUCUUAGACUCAGAUAUUUCUUUGUUGAUAAUUAGGUACCCAAAAGCACCACAGAUAAUGGAGAAUAAAGGUUCCAGAACAAACUAAAGAUCAAAAAUACAGAUGGUUUUACCAGGUGUUUAGAGAGCUAGCGUUAGCCUGCCAUCACAUUCCAUAGAUGUGGGAGAUCGAUCUGCAUGUGUGAAAAGUUCAUCUAAUAUCUGGUUUGUUGUUUAUGUUCCCAUUAAGUGCAAUAUGUGGAGUUAUAUGCAUGUAUAGAGAUCCAGCUAAUAGUUUUUUUCUAAUUAUUACAAGGCCUUAUUGUACAUUAACUUGAUAUUUUAGCGUAUUCUGUUAUUACAAUUUGGACAUAAAUAAUUCUGGUUUGCUCAAUACCAAA